UUGAAAGGGAAACGAUUGAAGUCAGUCGUGCUGGCGCGAAAUCAACCUUCUCGUCUUGAGAUCACAUGGCGUGGCGAGCCUCAAAACCGUCACGAAGCGUGAACUCUUGGUGAAAUGGAGCACUUUCGUGUCCGCUGGUUAACAUCAAUUUCGAACGUCAUAAAAAGGCUGGAGGGAUGUGGCUACUUCGGGAGUGUUAUAACCUUUAGCGGAAUGUGGUGUUCGGGAUUGAGGAUUGCAACGAAUACCUUUAGGGCUGUUCCACCUGACUUCUCUUUGGUAUCCUGGUGACGACUGGUUGCCGUUGCCGCUAGGAUUCACUAGGAGCAGUCUAGAGUCGAGCAACAGGUUAAGGAUGUUGACGUA
rnacentral:rRNA from 1 species